rnacentral:rRNA from 1 species
UACAGAGGUCCCGAGCGUUGUUCGGAUUCAUUGGGCGUAAAGGGUGCGUAGGCGGCGCGGUAAGUCGGGUGUGAAAUCUCGGGGCUUAACUCCGAAACUGCAUUCGAUACUGCCGUGCUUGAGGACUGGAGAGGAGACUGGAAUUUACGGUGUAGCGGUGAAAUGCGUAGAUAUCGUAAGGAAGACCAGUGGCGAAGGCGGGUCUCUGGACAGUACCUGACGCUGAGGCACGAAGGUCAGGGGAGCAAACGGG